rnacentral:rRNA from 1 species
UACGAAGGGGGCUAGCGUUGCUCGGAAUUACUGGGCGUAAAGCGCACGUAGGCGGCUUUCUAAAGUCAGGGGUGAAAUCCCGGAGCUCAACUCCGGAACUGCCUUUGAUACUGGCAGCUAGAGUCCGGAAGAGGUAAGUGGAACUCCUAGUGUAGAGGUGGAAUUCGUAGAUAUUAGGAAGAACACCAGUGGCGAAGGCGGCUUACUGGUCCGGAACUGACGCUGAAGGUGCGAAAGCGUGGGGAGCAAACAGG